UCCUGAGUUGACUCAACAGUGUAG
rnacentral:piRNA from 1 species